AGAGUUUGAUCAUGGCUCAGGACGAACGCUGGCGGCGUGCUUAACACAUACAAGUCGAACGAUGAAGUGGAGCUUGCUCCACGGAUUAGUGGCGAACGGGUGAGGAACACGUGAGAAACCUGCCUCGGAUUUUGGGAUAGCAAAUGGAAACGUUUGCUAAUACCAAAUAACGUCGGAGAGCUUCAUGGCUUUCUGACGAAAGGAAUUCCGAUUCGAGAGGGUCUCGCGGCCUAUCAGCUUGUUGGCGGGGUAAUGGCCCACCAAGGCAACGACGGGUAGCUGGUCUGAGAGGAUGGUCAGCCACACUGGGACUGAGACACGGCCCAGACUCCUACGGGAGGCAGCAGUGGGGAAUCUUGCGCAAUGGGCGAAAGCCUGACGCAGCAACGCCGCGUGCGGGAAGAAGGCUUUCGGGCUGUAAACCGCUUUCAGCAGGAACGAAAAUGACGGUACCUGCAGAAGAAGGAGCGGCCAACUAUGUGCCAGCAGCCGCGGUGAUACAUAGGCUUCAAGCGUUGUCCGGAUUUAUUGGGCGUAAAGAGUUCGUACGCGGUCGAGUAAGUCGGGUGUGAAAAUUCUGGGCUCAACCCAGAGACGCCACCCGAUACUGCUUAACUUGAGUUCGAUAGGGGAGUGGGGAAUU
rnacentral:rRNA from 1 species